rnacentral:rRNA from 1 species
GUCCUUUAGUUUUYCUUAAUGGUUGGUUCUGCUCUAUGAUUAUUUAAAUGGCCGCGGUAUUUUAACUGUGCUAAGGUAGCAUAAUAAUUUGUCUUUUAAUUGGGGUCUUGAAUGAAUGAUCUGACGAAAGAUCUUCUUUAUUUUUUUAUUAAUUUUUAAUUUAAUUUUCUUGUUAAAAAGCUUGAAUAUUUAAUUGGGACGAUAAGACCCUGUAGAUCUUUAUAAUUUUUUAAUUUUUUUUUUAUUGUUGUUUUUUUGAAAGUUUAGUUAAUUUAGUUAGUUGGGGUGAUUUAAGAAUUUUUUUAACUUCUUUUUUUUUCCUUUUUUAUAGUUUUAUUUGGUCCUUUAUUUAAAGAUUUUUAGAAUUAGAUACCUCAGGGAUAACAGCGUUAUAUGUUUGGAGAGUUCUUAUUGAUAAGCAUGUUUGCGACCUCGAUGUUGGAUUAAGAUUAAUUUUGUUGAGUAGGAGAAACAAAUUUAG